GAUCUUCAAAGACCUCGACGAUGGCGAGAUCGAAGAGGUGGCCGAGAAGUGCAAGGAAGAAAAGUUCGAGUCUGGCGCCUACAUCUUCCGUGAGGGUGAG
rnacentral:misc_RNA from 1 species